rnacentral:rRNA from 1 species
UCNNCCACAUUGGGACUGAGACACGGCCCAAACUCCUACGGGAGGCAGCAGUAGGGAAUCUUCCACAAUGGACGAAAGUCUGAUGGAGCAACGCCGCGUGAGUGAAGAANGGUUUCGGCUCGUAAAACUCUGUUGUUAAAGAAGAACAUAUCUGAGAGUAACUGUUCAGGUAUUGACGGUAUUUAACCAGAAAGCCACGGCUAACUACGUGCCAGCA